rnacentral:lncRNA from 1 species
GGAGUUACCGCUGCAUUUUCAAAGGUCGGAGAUCUUUCUUCUGCCUGAGUUGGUCAUGUAGCAAUUUUUUCCUAAACACAAAAUGGCCUUUUGCUUGUCUGGUAAUGAGAUUGUAAAUCCAUUUCCUGCGUGUGUUCUCCGCAGGCUUGCCUGAGUGUGUGGGGUGCGCAGGCGCGUGCCUGUCUUUUUGUACUGUAACUACCUCAUGGUUUGAAUGAUGAGCGUACUGCUGGUUGUAUUAACAGAGCACAUUUGUCGGGUGAGUCGUGUAUACAAACUUUUUUUUUUUAUCCUGUUUGUUUUAUCUGGGGGUUCGUUCAUUAAACUGACAGAUAUUUUUCUAGGAAGGACUAUUAUCAGUUUCCAAAUGCAAUACUCUAUUCUGGUUUUUCCUGAGUGAGCCUGAUUUUGUUCCUGUUUUUCAUCUACGAGGGUAAAAGCAUACCCCGGGAAAUCCCUGUGGCCAGUUUGAACACCCCUGCUGUAACCUUCCCUCUGUUCCAUGGUCUUUGUGAACCUGCUUAGAGGUAUAGUUUUGAUAACCACAGUUUUAAUUCUUUUAUCUGUGCAUAAUAAAGAUAUGUAUCAAUUAUU